GUAAACAUGCAGAGAACUGGGAAAUAAAGAAACCCCAGCCCGUUGCAAAAUGAACCAGCAUGAAAAAUGUCCUUAAUGUCCCCAAGUUCUCUGGAGUGUCCCCCACCCCGCUCUCCCCACUGCUUCAGGAUGAAAACAUGAUGUAUGUCUGCAUUCCUCGGCCUGAGGAAUUCUUGGUGUUCGGGUUUCGUUGCCUUUAAGUGACAGGAAGUAACACUUCACCCUUAUUUUUGCAGUAUUGUCUGAGAAUUAACCACAACAUAAUGCAGGUACAGAAAAUUCGGAUGACGCAAAAGGGAGGGUGUGUUUGUCUUGGAAAGAGCUGAGCAUUGUACCUCUGGGACUGCUGGAAAAGCUCACCCUGAUAAACCUUCCCCAUAAAAGAAACCUCCCAGGAGCUCUCAGGUGGGGAGCAGUGGGAUUUUUGAGACACCUGCUAGUGGAUGGUCCCUUUUCUUUGGAGGUCAGCUGUGCAUAGCCUUUUCUGCCCCAUCAGCUUUUCGUAGAAAAUCACAUGCUGAUCAUUGUCAUGAAGUAAGUUUUUCUAUGGAAAUCAUUACCUGAUCUCACUGUUUGGAGAUAAAAAGAGAUAAUUUUUUCCUGGAGAAAAGGAGGCUCA